rnacentral:tRNA from 1 species
UUCCGGGUAGCUCAGCUGGUAGUAGCGUUCGGCCGUUAACCGAAAGGUCGUGGGUUCGAGCCCCACCCCGGGAGCCA